UACGUAGGGUGCAAGCGUUAAUCGGAAUUACUGGGCGUAAAGCGUGCGCAGGCGGUUUUGUAAGUCAGAUGUGAAAUCCCCGGGCUUAACCUGGGGAACUGCGUUUGAAACUACAAGGCUAGAGUGUGGCAGAGGGGGGGUGGAAUUCCACGUGUAGCAGUGAAAUGCGUAGAGAUGUGGAGGAACACCGAUGGCGAAGGCAGCCCCCCUGGGUUAACACUGACGCUCAGGCACGAAAGCGUGGGGAGCAAACAGG
rnacentral:rRNA from 1 species